rnacentral:rRNA from 1 species
GAUGAACGCUGGCGGCGUGCCUAAUACAUGCAAGUCGAACGGACAGGCGAGGAGCUUGUGGGGUUCAUGAGAGGCGCAGGGGUGAGUGAAACGCGUGUAUACUGCACCUAUAAGAGGGAUAACACUAGGGAAAUGGGGCUCUUAUAGCGUAGGAGAUCCUGAUGCAUGGUGGGGGAUGGAGAGAGACGGUGUUUUUGGCUGGUCUAGAUGGAUACGAGCUUCAUGAGCUGGUUGGGGGGGUAACGGCAUACCAAGGCAACGAUGGGUAGCCGGCCUGAGAGGGGGACCGGCCACAUGGGGACUGAGAGACGGCCCAGACGCCUACGGGAGGCAGCAGUGGGGAAUAUUGCACAAUGGGCGGAAGCCUGAUGCAGCAACGCCGCGUGCGGGAUGACGUCCUUCGGGUGGUAAACCGCUGUCGCCGGUGACGAAGCGUGAGUGACGGUAAUGGGUAAAGAAGCACCGGCUAACUACGUG